UACGUAGGGGGCAAGCGUUAUCCGGAUUUACUGGGCGUAAAGGGAGCGUAGGCGGCCUGCCAAGUCUGAUGUGAAAUACCGGGGCUCAACCCCGGGGCUGCAUUGGAAACUGGCAGGCUGGAGUGCCGGAGAGGCAGGCGGAGUUCCUAGUGUAGCGGUGAAAUGCGUAGAUAUUAGGAGGAACACCAGUGGCGAAGGCGAUUUGCUGGACCAUCACUGACGCUGAGGUACGAAAGCGUGGGGAGCAAAUAGG
rnacentral:rRNA from 1 species